ensembl:lncRNA
AUGUUUUUAACUCCAGCAUAAAAUAAGCUUGAGAAUCCAAGUUUUUUUUUAACCAAACUACAGGCACAUCUUGGAAAUAAGGGCUGUGCUGUAAAGCUUUUCCAUUAUACCUUCAGAAGCACAGGGAACGCUCAGCUAUGAUUUUGGUGAGGGAUCUGCAGCACGGGGCAACAAUCUCAAUCCCCACAUUCUGGACCUAACAGCAAAAACAUCACAACGAACACAAAGGCUCCACAAACCUCUUCCAGGUCAGUCCAGGAACAGCGUGAGGAUAUAAUCGUGUGGGUGACAGCCAGCCAUUACCCCCUGCCUUCAAGAAAAUGAUGAUCUCAAGUCAAUGAGGAUCCUGCUGCCUCGAAUCAUCGCUGUUCUUUUCCUCUGCGUGUGUUCACUGUAACAGAUUGUUUGCUCACGUUCAGACCAUAAGGUCGCGACUCAGUUCUUUCCCCCUAUCAAGAGUUAAAGGAAAUCUGAGCAUGUGAGGCCCUAAGCGUGGACUUUAGAACUUGGCUCAAAAUAAAAUAAAAUAAAAUAAUUAAAACACAAACAAAAAAUAUACCCAGACAGAAACCUACCCUCUCGCCUAGUGACUUAAUUACAAAACACGCACAGGGUGCAACACAGCAGCCAGCUCAGUCAAGGCUGUGAUGGAGCUGAUGGGGGGCAUUCAGGUAACUAUGAGAGGGGCAGGGCACCUCCAAGUGCUCUGUGUGACUAUGGGAGGUACCAGAGUUCUCUCAGAUGGUGGACAGGGUAAUUUCUGCCACACGGGGGAAAGCUCUGCAGGAGAUCUCCAAGAACAUCACGGAUCCUUACUGAAUGGAGGCAAGUACAGAGGCAGGAUGAUGGCUUCCAGGCAGAAGCUCUCAUGGAAUUUAAUUCGCCAGAAAAUUCACCAGCUCCAUCAGUCCUGUCAGAAGGAGUCAGAGCAGAGAUGUUGUUCCUCUGGCACUCUGUCCUGCCUGAGCACCCAUCCUCCAGCACAAGAGAAAGCACUGCUGUGUCCUGCAUCAGAUGUGCUUUAUUCCUCGUGAAGCUGAUGAAAAAGAAAAAAGCCUUUAAGUCGGUCACGCUGCAUUAAAGACUGCUUUGAUGGACUUCAAAGAGCCUUGCUGAAACCAGCAACUGUGCAGGCAGGGCCAUGAGGCUUUCAAGAGAGGCAAAGUAUGAGCGCAGAGCACUUCCCGGACUGGAGACAGCAUCUGCUUCCAGGGGAGAGCUUUGACUGGAAGGCAGGUGGAGAGCCAGCCAUUCCCACAUCCAGGUUGCUGGUUUAGCACCAUCCUGCUGCAUCCAUAGCAAAGGGCAGCCCUGCUCCUUCUUUAGGCCAUCUCCCUUCCAUCUGUGGCUUACAGCUCCUCACAGGGAGAGGAGGGGCAGCGCUGAGCUCUGCUCUGUGCGACAGCGACAGGGAACAGCAUGGAGCUGUGUCAGGGGAGGGGCAGCUGGGGGUUAGGGACAGGGGCUGCACCAGAGGGUGGUGGGCAUGGAACGGGCUGUCUAUGCGACUGCCAUAAGGGGAGAGGAACCUCCCUAUACGAAGCAGGGCACACCAGCACACUCCUUGAGACAGCAUUUGUC